UUUAUGGAGAGUUUGAUCCUGGCUCAGGAUGAACGCUGGCGGCGUGCCUAAUACAUGCAAGUCGAGCGAACGGACGAGAAGCUUGCUUCUCUGAUGUUAGCGGCGGACGGGUGAGUAACACGUGGAUAACCUACCUAUAAGACUGGGAUAACUUCGGGAAACCGGAGCUAAUACCGGAUAAUAUUUUGAACCGCAUGGUUCAAAAGUGAAAGACGGUCUUGCUGUCACUUAUAGAUGGAUCCGCGCUGCAUUAGCUAGUUGGUAAGGUAACGGCUUACCAAGGCAACGAUGCAUAGCCGACCUGAGAGGGUGAUCGGCCACACUGGAACUGAGACACGGUCCAGACUCCUACGGGAGGCAGCAGUAGGGAAUCUUCCGCAAUGGGCGAAAGCCUGACGGAGCAACGCCGCGUGAGUGAUGAAGGUCUUCGGAUCGUAAAACUCUGUUAUUAGGGAAGAACAUAUGUGUAAGUAACUGUGCACAUCUUGACGGUACCUAACCAGAAAGCCACGGCUAACUACGUGCCAGCAGCCGCGGUAAUACGUAGGUGGCAAGCGUUAUCCGGAAUUAUUGGGCGUAAAGCGCGCGCAGGUGGUUUCUUAAGUCUGAUGUGAAAGCCCACGGCUCAACCGUGGAGGGUCAUUGGAAACUGGGAGACUUGAGUGCAGAAGAGGAAAGUGGAAUUCCAUGUGUAGCGGUGAAAUGCGUAGAGAUAUGGAGGAACACCAGUGGCGAAGGCGACUUUCUGGUCUGUAACUGACACUGAGGCGCGAAAGCGUGGGGAGCAAACAGGAUUAGAUACCCUGGUAGUCCACGCCGUAAACGAUGAGUGCUAAGUGUUAGAGGGUUUCCGCCCUUUAGUGCUGAAGUUAACGCAUUAAGCACUCCGCCUGGGGAGUACGGCCGCAAGGCUGAAACUCAAAGGAAUUGACGGGGGCCCGCACAAGCGGUGGAGCAUGUGGUUUAAUUCGAAGCAACGCGAAGAACCUUACCAGGUCUUGACAUCCUUUGACAACUCUAGAGAUAGAGCCUUCCCCUUCGGGGGACAAAGUGACAGGUGGUGCAUGGUUGUCGUCAGCUCGUGUCGUGAGAUGUUGGGUUAAGUCCCGCAACGAGCGCAACCCUUAAGCUUAGUUGCCAUCAUUAAGUUGGGCACUCUAAGGUGACUGCCGGUGACAAACCGGAGGAAGGUGGGGAUGACGUCAAAUCAUCAUGCCCCUUAUGACCUGGGCUACACACGUGCUACAAUGGACAAUACAAAGGGCAGCGAAACCGCGAGGUCAAGCAAAUCCCAUAAAGUUGUUCUCAGUUCGGAUUGUAGUCUGCAACUCGACUACAUGAAGCUGGAAUCGCUAGUAAUCGUAGAUCAGCAUGCUACGGUGAAUACGUUCCCGGGUCUUGUACACACCGCCCGUCACACCACGAGAGUUUGUAACACCCGAAGCCGGUGGAGUAACCUUUUAGGAGCUAGCCGUCGAAGGUGGGACAAAUGAUUGGGGUGAAGUCGUAACAAGGUAGCCGUAUCGGAAGGUGCGGCUGGAUCACCUCCUUU
rnacentral:rRNA from 1 species